UACAGAGGUCUCAAGCGUUGUUCGGAUUCAUUGGGCGUAAAGGGCGCGUAGGCGGCCUGAUAAGUCGGGGGGUGAAAGCCUGUGGCUCAACCACAGAAUUGCCUUCGAUACUGUUAGGCUUGAGACCGGAAGAGGUAAGUGGAACUGCGAGUGUAGAGGUGAAAUUCGUAGAUAUUCGCAAGAACACCAGUGGCGAAGGCGGCUUACUGGUCCGGAUCUGACGCUGAGGCGCGAAAGCGUGGGGAGCAAACAGG
rnacentral:rRNA from 1 species